CACCAGUGACUGACAUGACUUGGUGCAAAUCUUGGGUAGAGACCUAUACUUAAGCUCCUCACCCCCACCUGCCGAGGCGUAAGGGCUCAGAGGGGGUUCCAUGGGGUGGGCGGGAGUGGUAAGGGUCGAGGUGCAGCCACAGCCUGGCUCUGUGCACACCCCCUCCCUCCCCCUGGUCCCAUGUGCACACCCUCUCCCUGCCCCCUGCCCCUUGUGCACACCCUCUGUACCCCCCUUCCCGCCCCAGCCUGUGUUUGCAGUGCUACAGGGUGGCUGCAGCCUUUGCCUCCCACAGCUCCUCAAGGUCAGAGGGCUGGGAACCCCUGGGAUGUGGCUGGGAUGAGGACCCUGCCCCUCCUCAGGCAUUUCCAGGCAAGGGGCACAGAGACACAGCCAGCCCAGCAGCUGAGCCCCUCCUAUCAGGCCAGGUGGGAAACUGAAGCAUGAACACAACCCCAGACUGGAAAUAAAAAGCCGUCAUGUACUGUGUGCCUA
rnacentral:lncRNA from 1 species